rnacentral:tRNA from 1 species
GCCUUCGGUGGCUCAGAUGGAUAGAGCGUCUGCCAUGUAAGCAGGAGAUGCCGGGUUCGAGUCCCGGUCGGGGCA